rnacentral:rRNA from 1 species
UUAAGCGACUAAGCGUACACGGUGGAUGCCCUGGCAGUCAGAGGCGAUGAAGGACGUGCUAAUCUGCGAAAAGCGUCGGUAAGGUGAUAUGAACCGUUAUAACCGGCGAUGUCCGAAUGGGGAAACCCAGUGUGAUUCGUCACACUAUCGUUAACUGAAUACAUAGGUUAACGAGGCGAACCGGGGGAACUGAAACAUCUAAGUACCCCGAGGAAAAGAAAUCAACCGAGAUUCCCCCAGUAGCGGCGAGCGAACGGGGAGCAGCCCAGAGUCUGAAUCAGCUUGUGUGUUAGUGGAACGGUCUGGAAAGUCCGACGGUACAGGGUGAUAGUCCCGUACACCAAAAUGCACAGGUUGUGAACUCGAAGAGUAGGGCGGGACACGUGGUAUCCUGUCUGAAUAUGGGGGGACCAUCCUCCAAGGCUAAAUACUCCUGACUGACCGAUAGUGAACCAGUACCGUGAGGGAAAGGCGAAAAGAACCCCGGCGAGGGGAGUGAAAAAGAACCUGAAACCGUGUACGUACAAGCAGUGGGAGCACCUUCGGGUGUGACUGCGUACCUUUUGUAUAAUGGGUCAGCGACUUAUAUUCUGUAGCAAGGUUAACCGUAUAGGGGAGCCGCAGGGAAACCGAGUCUUAACUGGGCGUUAAGUUGCAGGGUAUAGACCCGAAACCCGGUGAUCUAGCCAUGGGCAGGUUGAAGGUUGGGUAACACUAACUGGAGGACCGAACCGACUAAUGUUGAAAAAUUAGCGGAUGACUUGUGGCUGGGGGUGAAAGGCCAAUCAAACCGGGAGAUAGCUGGUUCUCCCCGAAAGCUAUUUAGGUAGCGCCUCGUGAAUUCAUCUUCGGGGGUAGAGCACUGUUUCGGCUAGGGGGUCAUCCCGACUUACCAACCCGAUGCAAACUACGAAUACCGAAGAAUGUUAUCACGGGAGACACACGGCGGGUGCUAACGUCCGUCGUGAAGAGGGAAACAACCCAGACCGCCAGCUAAGGUCCCAAAGUCAUGGUUAAGUGGGAAACGAUGUGGGAAGGCACAGACAGCCAGGAUGUUGGCUUAGAAGCAGCCAUCAUUUAAAGAAAGCGUAAUAGCUCACUGGUCGAGUCGGCCUGCGCGGAAGAUGUAACGGGGCUAAACCAUGCACCGAAGCUGCGGCAGCGACACUAUGUGUUGUUGGGUAGGGGAGCGUUCUGUAAGCCUGCGAAGGUGGCCUGUGAGGGUUGCUGGAGGUAUCAGAAGUGCGAAUGCUGACAUAAGUAACGAUAAAGCGGGUGAAAAGCCCGCUCGCCGGAAGACCAAGGGUUCCUGUCCAACGUUAAUCGGGGCAGGGUGAGUCGACCCCUAAGGCGAGGCCGAAAGGCGUAGUCGAUGGGAAACAGGUUAAUAUUCCUGUACUUGGUGUUACUGCGAAGGGGGGACGGAGAAGGCUAUGUUAGCCGGGCGACGGUUGUCCCGGUUUAAGCAUGUAGGCUGGUUAUCCAGGCAAAUCCGGAUAAUCAAGGCUGAGGUGUGAUGACGAGGCACUACGGUGCUGAAGUAACAAAUGCCCUGCUUCCAGGAAAAGCCUCUAAGCAUCAGGUAACAUUAAAUCGUACCCCAAACCGACACAGGUGGUCAGGUAGAGAAUACCAAGGCGCUUGAGAGAACUCGGGUGAAGGAACUAGGCAAAAUGGUGCCGUAACUUCGGGAGAAGGCACGCUGGUGUGUAGGUGAAGUCCCUGCGGAUGGAGCUGAGACCAGUCGAAGAUACCAGCUGGCUGCAACUGUUUAUUAAAAACACAGCACUGUGCAAACACGAAAGUGGACGUAUACGGUGUGACGCCUGCCCGGUGCCGGAAGGUUAAUUGAUGGGGUUAUCCGUAAGGAGAAGCUCUUGAUCGAAGCCCCGGUAAACGGCGGCCGUAACUAUAACGGUCCUAAGGUAGCGAAAUUCCUUGUCGGGUAAGUUCCGACCUGCACGAAUGGCGUAAUGAUGGCCAGGCUGUCUCCACCCGAGACUCAGUGAAAUUGAACUCGCUGUGAAGAUGCAGUGUACCCGCGGCAAGACGGAAAGACCCCGUGAACCUUUACUAUAGCUUGACACUGAACAUUGAGCCUUGAUGUGUAGGAUAGGUGGGAGGCUUUGAAGCGUGGACGCCAGUCUGCGUGGAGCCAACCUUGGAAUACCACCCUUUAAUGUUUGAUGUUCUAACGUUGGCCCCUGACCGGGGUUGCGGACAGUGUCUGGUGGGUAGUUUGACUGGGGCGGUCUCCUCCCAAAGCGUAACGGAGGAGCACGAAGGUUAGCUAAUCCUGGUCGGACAUCAGGAGGUUAGUGCAAUGGCAUAAGCUAGCUUGACUGCGAGCGUGACGGCGCGAGCAGGUGCGAAAGCAGGUCAUAGUGAUCCGGUGGUUCUGAAUGGAAGGGCCAUCGCUCAACGGAUAAAAGGUACUCCGGGGAUAACAGGCUGAUACCGCCCAAGAGUUCAUAUCGACGGCGGUGUUUGGCACCUCGAUGUCGGCUCAUCACAUCCUGGGGCUGAAGUAGGUCCCAAGGGUAUGGCUGUUCGCCAUUUAAAGUGGUACGCGAGCUGGGUUUAGAACGUCGUGAGACAGUUCGGUCCCUAUCUGCCGUGGGCGCUGGAGAAUUGAGGGGGGCUGCUCCUAGUACGAGAGGACCGGAGUGGACGCAUCACUGGUGUUCGGGUUGUCAUGCCAAUGGCACUGCCCGGUAGCUAAAUGCGGAAGAGAUAAGUGCUGAAAGCAUCUAAGCACGAAACUUGCCCCGAGAUGAGUUCUCCCUGAGACUUUAAGUCUCCUGAAGGAACGUUGAAGACGACGACGUUGAUAGGCCGGGUGUGUAAGCGCAGCGAUGCGUUGAGCUAACCGGUACUAAUGAACCGUGAGGCUUAACCUU